UCCGGUUGAUCCUGCCAGAGGCCGCUGCUAUCCGGCUGGGACUAAGCCAUGCUAGUCUAGGGGCUUGUACUCCUUCGGGGGUGCAAGCACCGGCGGACGGCUCAGUAACACGUGGACAACCUGCCCUCGGGUGGGGGAUAACCCCGGGAAACUGGGGCUAAUCCCCCAUAGGUGAUGGGUGCUGGAAUGCCCCAUCUCCGAAAGCGCUUAGCGCCCGAGGAUGGGUCUGCGGCGGAUUAGGUAGUUGGUGGGGUAACGGCCCACCAAGCCUAAGAUCCGUACGGGCUGUGGGAGCAGGAGCCCGGAGAUGGACCCUGAGACAAGGGUCCAGGCCCUACGGGGCGCAGCAGGCGCGAAACCUCCGCAAUACGGGAAACCGCGACGGGGUUAGUCGGAGUGCCCGUGCAUUGCACGGGCUGUCGGGGUGCCUAAACAGCACCCUAUAGCAAGGGCCGGGCAAGGCCGGUGGCAGCCGCCGCGGUAAGACCGGCGGCCCGAGUGGCGGCCACUCUUAUUGGGCCUAAAGCGUCCGUAGCCGGCCCAGUAAGUCCCCCGGGAAAUCUGGUCGCUUAACGAUCAGACUUCCGGGGGAUACUGCUGGGCUAGGGACCGGGAGAGGCCGUGGGUA
rnacentral:rRNA from 1 species